AGACUGGGAUAACUCCGGGAAACCGGGGCUAAUACCGGAUAACAUUUUGAACCGCAUGGUUCGAAAUUGAAAGGCGGCUUCGGCUGUCACUUAUGGAUGGACCCGCGUCGCAUUAGCUAGUUGGUGAGGUAACGGCUCACCAAGGCAACGAUGCGUAGCCGACCUGAGAGGGUGAUCGGCCACACUGGGACUGAGACACGGCCCAGACUCCUACGGGAGGCAGCAGUAGGGAAUCUUCCGCAAUGGACGAAAGUCUGACGGAGCAACGCCGCGUGAGUGAUGAAGGCUUUCGGGUCGUAAAACUCUGUUGUUAGGGAAGAACAAGUGCUAGUUGAAUAAGCUGGCACCUUGACGGUACCUAACCAGAAAGCCACGGCUAACUACGUGCCAGCAGCCGCGGUAAUACGUAGGUGGCAAGCGUUAUCCGGAAUUAUUGGGCGUAAAGCGCGCGCAGGUGGUUUCUUAAGUCUGAUGUGAAAGCCCACGGCUCAACCGUGGAG
rnacentral:rRNA from 1 species